rnacentral:rRNA from 1 species
UACGGAGGGUGCAAGCAUUGAUCGGAAUUAUUGGGCGUAAAGGGCGCGUAGGCGGCCUGGCAAGUCAGAUGUGAAAUUCCGCGGCUCAACUGCGGAGCUGCAUUUGAAACUGCCAGACUAGAGCAUAGUUAGGGAAAACGGAAUUCCACGUGUAGCGGUGAAAUGCGUAGAUAUGUGGAAGAACACCAGUGGUGAAGACGGUUUUCUGGGCUAUUGCUGACGCUGAGGCGCGAAAGCUAGGGGAG